rnacentral:rRNA from 1 species
GAUGAACGCUGGCGGCGUGCCUAAUACAUGCAAGUCGAGCGAACGGACGAGAAGCUUGCUUCUCUGAUGUUAGCGGCGGACGGGUGAGUAACACGUGGAUAACCUACCUAUAAGACUGGAUAACUUCGGGAAACCGGAGCUAAUACCGGAUAAUAUUUUGAACCGCAUGGUUCAAAAGUGAAAGACGGUCUUGCUGUCACUUAUAGAUGGAUCCGCGCUGCAUUAGCUAGUUGGUAAGGUAACGGCUUACCAAGGCAACGAUGCAUAGCCGACCUGAGAGGGUGAUCGGCCACACUGGAACUGAGACACGGUCCAGACUCCUACGGGAGGCAGCAGUAGGGAAUCUUCCGCAAUGGGCGAAAGCCUGACGGAGCAACGCCGCGUGAGUGAUGAAGGUCUUCGGAUCGUAAAACUCCGUUAUUAGGGAAGAACAUAUGUGUAAGUAACUGUGCACAUCUUGACGGUACCUAAUCAGAAAGCCACGGCUAACUACGUG